rnacentral:rRNA from 1 species
CGUGUAGGCGGUUGGUCAAGUCUGGUGUGAAAGCCCGGGGCUUAGCCUCGGAAGUGCAUCGGAAACUAGCCAGCUGGAGCGCGAUAGAGGAGGGUGGAAUUCCUGGUGUAGCGGUGAAAUGCGUAGAUAUCAGGAGGAACACCGGCGGCGAAGGCGGCCCUCUGGAUCGUUGCUGACGCUGAGACGCGAAAGCGUGGGGAGCAAACAGGAUUAGAUACCCUGGUAGUCCACGCUGUAAACGAUGGGUACUAGGUGUUCGGGGUAUUGACCCCCUGAGUGCCGCAGUUAACGCAUUAAGUACCCCGCCUGGGGACUACGGCCGCAAGGUUAAA